GAGGUCGUCUCUCCACAAGAGACGAAUGCGUCCUGCCGUUCGAUGGGGGAAGCCGGUGUGAGUCCGGCACUGUCCCGCAGCCGUGAGCACCCGUGUUCCUCGGGUGUCAGUCGGAAUGCCCGUCGUGCGGUACUGCUCGGCU
rnacentral:ncRNA from 22 species